CUGUCACUCCUACGGGAGGCAGCAGUGGGGAAUAUUGCACAAUGGGCGCAAGCCUGAUGCAGCCAUGCCGCGUGUGUGAAGAAGGCCUUCGGGUUGUAAAGCACUUUCAGUCGUGAGGAAGGUGGUAGUGUUAAUAGCACUAUCAUUUGACGUUAGCGACAGAAGAAGCACCGGCUAACUCUGUGCCAGCAGCCGCGGUAAUACAGAGGGUGCGAGCGUUAAUCGGAUUUACUGGGCGUAAAGCGUGCGUAGGCGGCCAUUUAAGUCAAAUGUGAAAUCCCCGAGCUUAACUUGGGAAUUGCAUUCGAUACUGGAUGGCUAGAGUAUGGGAGAGGAUGGUAGAAUUCCAGGUGUAGCGGUGAAAUGCGUAGAGAUCUGGAGGAAUACCGAUGGCGAAGGCAGCCAUCUGGCCUAAUACUGACGCUGAGGUACGAAAGCAUGGGGAGCAAACAGGAUUAGAUACCCUGGUAG
rnacentral:rRNA from 1 species